ACUACGGGCGGCAGCAGUGGGGAAUAUUGGGCAAUGGGCGCAAGCCUGACCCAGCAACGCCGCGUGAAGGAAGAAGGCUUUCGGGUUGUAAACUUCUUUUCUCAGGGACGAAGAAGGUGACGGUACCUGAGGAAUAAGCCACGGCCAACUACGUGCCAGCAGCCGCGGUAAUACGUAGGCGGCAAGCGUGAUCCGGAUUUAUUGGGUGGAAAGGGCGUGUAGGCGGGAGCGCAACUCAGUUGUGAAAACUCAGGGCUCAACCCUGGGACUGCAUUUGAAACUGUGUUUCUUGAGUGCGGGAGAGGCAAGCGGAAUUCCGGGUGUAGCGGUGAAAUGCGUAGAUAUACGGAGGAACACCAGUGGCGAAGGCGGAUUGCUGGACAGUAACUGACGCUGAGGCGCGAAAGCGUGGGGAGCAAACAGGAUUAGAUACCCGAGUAGUC
rnacentral:rRNA from 1 species